rnacentral:rRNA from 1 species
CACGUAGGGUGCGAGCGUUGUCCGGAAUUAUUGGGCGUAAAGAGCUCGUAGGCGGUGUGUCGCGUCGGCCGUGAAAACUUGCAGCUUAACUGUGGGCGUGCGGUCGAUACGGGCAUCACUGGAGUCCGGCAGGGGAGACUGGAAUUCCUGGUGUAGCGGUGAAAUGCGCAGAUAUCAGGAGGAACACCGGUGGCGAAGGCGGGUCUCUGGGCCGGAACUGACGCUGAGGAGCGAAAGCGUGGGGAGCGAACAGG